CUCAUUUGAGUUCCUGUCCUGACUUCCUUCAGUGAUGGACUACUGUGUGAAAGUACCAUAAUGGACUACUAGAGUGCUGGAUCACCCACUUUCCUAUCUGAGUCCUGACCUUGCUCUAACUGGCUCUCAGGAGCAUCAUACUGAUCAUAAAUGUAAACUAUACAGUGGUUUGAAUGGAAGUGGCUUGCAUAGGCUCAGUGAGUGGCACUGUUUGAAAGAACUGGGAUGCAGAACUUGGUGGCUCCUUCUCCAGCAGCAUGUCUGCCUGCACACUGCCAUACUUCCUACCAUGACAUAAUGGACGAAACCUCAGAACCUACAAGCAACCCCAACUAAAUGUUUUCCUUUAUAAGAGUCACGGUGAUCAUGGUGUCUCUUCCUAACAAUAGAACACUAAGACAAUCAAACCCAUUAAAACACUUACUAUGUCUCAAAAAACCCAAAAC
rnacentral:lncRNA from 1 species